rnacentral:piRNA from 1 species
UGCCACAAAGAAUCUAAGGGAACAGAUCA